UACGAAGGGGGCUAGCGUUGCUCGGAAUCACUGGGCGUAAAGCGCACGUAGGCGGCUUUCUAAGUCAGGGGUGAAAUCCUGGAGCUCAACUCCAGAACUGCCUUUGAUACUGGAGAGCUUGAGUCCGGGAGAGGUGAGUGGAACUCCGAGUGUAGAGGUGAAAUUCGUAGAUAUUCGGAAGAACACCAACGGCGAAGGCAGCUCGCUGGGACGGUACUGACGCUGAGACGCGAAAGCGUGGGGAGCGAACAGG
rnacentral:rRNA from 1 species